UACGUAGGGUGCAAGCGUUAAUCGGAAUUACUGGGCGUAAAGCGUGCGCAGGCGGCUUUGCAAGACAGAUGUGAAAUCCCCGGGCUCAACUGGGGAGGGUCACGCGAUACUGUUCGACUCGAAGGCAGGAGAGGGAAGUGGAAUUCCCGGUGUAGUGGUGAAAUGCGUAGAUAUCGGGAGGAACACCAGUGGCGAAGGCGGCGCUCUGGGCCGGAACUGACGCUGAGGAGCGAAAGCGUGGGUAGCAAACAGG
rnacentral:rRNA from 1 species